rnacentral:rRNA from 1 species
GGGUGGUAAUGCCGGAUGCUCCAUCACACUGCAUGGUGUGUUGGGAAAGCCUUUGCGGCAUGGGAUGGGGUCGCGUCCUAUCAGCUUGAUGGCGGGGUAACGGCCCACCAUGGCUUCGACGGGUAGCCGGCCUGAGAGGGCGACCGGCCACAUUGGGACUGAGAUACGGCCCAGACUCCUACGGGAGGCAGCAGUGGGGAAUAUUGCACAAUGGGCGCAAGCCUGAUGCAGCGACGCCGCGUGAGGGAUGGAGGCCUUCGGGUUGUAAACCUCUUUUGUUAGGGAGCAAGGCAUUUUGUGUUGAGUGUACCUUUCGAAUAAGCACCGGCUAACUACGUGCCAGCAGCCGCGGUAAUACGUAGGGUGCAAGCGUUAUCCGGAAUUAUUGGGCGUAAAGGGCUCGUAGGCGGUUCGUCGCGUCCGGUGUGAAAGUCCAUCGCUUAACGGUGGAUCCGCGCCGGGUACGGGCGGGCUUGAGUGCGGUAGGGGAGACUGGAAUUCCCGGUGUAACGGUGGAAUGUGUAGAUAUCGGAAAAAAAAC